UGCAUUAUGGGAAUAUCAGAAGAAGAGACCAAGCAAGAGAUGGAGAAUCUAUUUGAAAAAACAAUGACAAAAAACUUCUCUAAUUGGGUAAAGAAAAAA